rnacentral:rRNA from 1 species
UACGUAGGGUGCAAGCGUUGUCCGGAAUUAUUGGGCGUAAAGAGCUCGUAGGCGGUCUGUUGCGUCGGCUGUGAAAACCCGGGGCUCAACCCCGGGCCUGCAGCCGAUACGGGCAGACUAGAGUUCGGCAGGGGAGACUGGAAUUCCUGGUGUAGCGGUGAAAUGCGCAGAUAUCAGGAGGAACACCGGUGGCGAAGGCGGGUCUCUGGGCCGAUACUGACGCUGAGGAGCGAAAAGCGUGGGGGAGCGAACAGG